rnacentral:rRNA from 1 species
GAUGAACGCUGGCGGCGUGCCUAACACAUGCAAGUCGAACGGACUUAAUUUGAAACCUAGUGAUAAUUAAGUGAGUGGCGGACGGGUGAGUAACGCGUGGAUAACCUGCCGUAUGCAGGGGGAUACCAACUGGAAACAGUUGCUAAUACCGCAUAAGCGCACGGUGUCGCAUGACACAGUGUGAAAAGGUUUAACGGCAUACGAUGGAUCCGCGUCCGAUUAGCCAGUUGGCGGGGUAACGGCCCACCAAAGCGACGAUCGGUAGCCGGCCUGAGAGGGCGGACGGCCACAUUGGGACUGAGACACGGCCCAA